UUGUCACUUUAAGUGAAAAAACUUCCUUAUACCAUUUUCAUGUGGAAAAAGGAGGUGUGACAGGAAUGCUCCAAUUUCUGCAAGCAUGAUGAGGAAAUUGAAACAGAUUAAGAAGAAGAAAUCGAAGGUAGACGUACUCAAACCAGUUGCGGAGGAAAAUAAGAAUUUUGUCUAUGAAUGGUUUGACAAGAAGGAGAAGUUUCCCAAAAACUUCUUGACUGGAAGAUAUGGUUGGAGGUUUUUUGAACUGUUGUGUAGUGCUACCCCUUCUGUUCUCAUUUUUUCAUGUUGUUAUGGAUGUUGCAUCAUGCAACAACAUGUGCACUUCAUGGGAUAAGAUCACGGAGGCUGCCAGUAAAGAGGGGAAGGAUUUGGACUUUUGUGGGACAAUUGAUGCUUGCCAAGCCUUGUACUUGACACCCCUAAUGAUAUAUCCUCAAGUAAGUAUGCCAAAACCUGGGGCUGUGGAGUUGUGCAAGGCUAAGGUUUUGUAUUGUGUGGCAAAUUAAUAACAAGUAUUUUAUGCCUGUCAUUUUCCACUUGGCAGAGGGUUUGAUUCGAAUUUAUGAUAGCAAUGUCAAUUUGUAUGACGAUGGUAAACUAAUAGAACUUGUACAACCCCUCGCACUUAUGAUGCCUAGGAUUUUAAUGAAAACUGGCCAGUUUACAGAUUUAGGUCAAGAUGAGCUUACGAAGAAAUGGUCAUGGGAGCGUAUUAUAGAUGUGUCAUCCAUUCAGCAAAGUGAAAGAAGUGAAGCAUAUGUAGUGAAGGCUAUUAACUUCCUCCUAACUGAUACGCCACUGGUGCAACUUAAUGACAAGCGAAUGGAGUUGUUCAAGGAAAAAUAUUUAGUGUAUAUCUUCAGAGGAAGGAUGGACCCUUCUUAGUUUUAUUAGUAAUUUAUGUUUGUGUUGGUCAUGAGAUAAAAUCUAUGUAAUGAAACUAUC